AUAACCAAAAACCGAAAAGUCAAACGAACCUUGCAAAUCGAAACACUCGAACUCGGUCCGAUCACAGAACCCGGCGGUGUAAUUCGGGUCGACGAUGGACCUCAGUAUGUACUGCUUCUUCGAACCGGAGUCCGGAACUAUACAAGCCUGGAGCUCCGACACGACGCCGUCGCACCGCCUGACCCGAACCAAAAUCGACGUCUCCUUCCUCUUGAACGAAGCGUGGAGGAUCUUCUGGACCCCACUUCUCCCGCCUUUGAACGGAGCCCUGUACAACUCUCCGCCGCGGCCGGAACCGGAGCCGCU
rnacentral:lncRNA from 1 species